UACGUAGGGGGCAAGCGUUGUCCGGAUUUAUUGGGCGUAAAGAGCUCGUAGGUGGUUCGGUAAGUCGGAUGUGAAAUCUCCAGGCUCAACCUGGAGGGGUCAUUCGAUACUGCCGUGACUAGAGUUCGGUAGGGGAGUGUGGAAUUCCUGGUGGAGCGGUGAAAUGCGCAGAUAUCAGGAGGAACACCGGUGGCGAAGGCGGUUCUCUGGGCCGAUACUGACGCUGAGGAGCGAAAGCGUGGGGAGCGAACAGG
rnacentral:rRNA from 1 species